AGCGAACGCUGGCGGCAGGCCUAACACAUGCAAGUCGAACGGCUCUUCGGAGCAGUGGCGGACGGGUGAGUAACGCGUGGGAACGUGCCCUUUGGUUCGGAACAACACAGGGAAACUUGUGCUAAUACCGGAUGAGCCCUUCGGGGGAAAGAUUUAUCGCCAUUGGAGCGGCCCGCGUUGGGUUAGGUAGUUGGUGGGGUAAAGGCCUACCAAGCCUACGAUCCAUAGCUGGUCGGAGAGGAUGAUCAGCCACACUGGGACUGAGACACGGCCCAGACUCCUACGGGAGGCAGCAGUGGGGAAUCUUGCGCAAUGGGCGAAAGCCUGACGCAGCCAUGCCGCGUGUAUGAUGAAGGUCUUAGGAUUGUAAAAUACUUUCACCGGGGAAGAUAAUGACGGUACCCGGAGAAGAAGCCCCGGCUAACUUCGUGCCAGCCGCCGCCGUAACAC
rnacentral:rRNA from 1 species